GUCCUCGCAGCAGCUAACGAUGGCUCACCGCUUGUGUAGCUACAGCAGCUAGCUAGCCAUCUGCCUUCUAUUCGUAUUUAUUUCUCUACACAAUAGAAAAGCGAUGUGCUCUCGUGCCUCAUGCAGCUCUUCUGUGUUGCACGUCAAUACUUUGAGACAAACAAGGGGCGUCAAUCUAACGUAAAUGCUUUUCAAUAAAUGUCUUUAGUUCUGCACAAUGAACAUGAAUCUCAGAUUAAAUGAUUAAUAUUCCCCAAAUUCCAAUUAACUACACUUCCGCUGUUACAGAGGGGAAACACUGUAAUCAUACUGUAAACUUUCAAAAGUUCAUAUAUUGUGCAUAGUUUGAAGUGAAAAAAAACUUUUCUUCAGUUGUGUUUGGGUUCAGGCUGUUUAGGAUCGGUAUCGGAAAACCCAAACGAUACUCAUCCCUACUCUCAUGUCUGCGCGCUCAACGUGAAGCUAAAGCCAGCCGCUGGUUAGCUUAGCAUGAAGACUGGAGACAAGAGGGCUCGAAAGGGAUGUUUAAAAAUCCGGAUUCAACAGUUUACAAAUUUCCGACUUGAUGAAACAAUGGACAAAAAUCGUUCUUUAUUUAUUCUUUAAGUGUUUGCUUUCAAGAUCAAGAUGGGGUCAUAGAAAAAAACAAGUAGAGCAAAGUGUUUUAUGCACCAUGUCAAGUGGAUGAGCUCCAUCAAUACAAAUACACACACACAUUUACUCUAAAGGCUCAUUUGCAUAUUGUAGAUACCUUCACUGUAACCAUAGAGACGUUACAUCAUGAUGGAACAUUUCUCCAUGUUCCAUGUUCCAUGUUCUAUGUUCUAUGCUCCGUUCACCACAGCAUAAGAACACAGUCUGUUGCACAUCCAGUCAGUCAGUUUCAAACCUCGCAUCUACACACUGAAGUUUUCCGGACCUACACUUGCAGAACGCAACCAUGUAAUGCCUCAGGAGUCUGUAGAGGGAAUGAAGACGCGUUCUGCUGCACUUAACAGAGCUCAAGACCAACGGGACGCCAUCAGGACGCCACGUCAACGGGACGCCAUCAGGGUGCCAUCAGGACGCCACGUCAACGGGACGCCAUCAGGACGUCACGUCAACCCCUCAGGAGCAAAUCCAGAUCUACGCAUGACACACAUACACACACACACACAGAUGUACACACAGACACACUAACAUUUGGUUCUAAACAAUGACACACACUAACAUUUAGAUGUACACAAAGACACAUUAAUAUUUAGAUGUACACACAGACACACUAACAAUUAGAUCUACACACAGACACACUAACAAUUAGAUCUACACACAGACCCACUAACAUUUAGAUGUACACACAGACACAUCCUGGUGACCCUCCUCACGUCUCUUCUCCUUGUCUGCAGACCAACAGGACGCCACGUCAUCGGGACGCCUUCAGGACGCCGCGUCAGCCCCUCAGGAGCAAAUCCAGAUCUACUCAUGACACACACACACACCCACACACACACACACACAGAUACCAACAGGACGCCAUCAGGACGCCACGUCUUCGGGACGCCAUCAGGACGCCACGUCAUCGGGACGCCAUCAGGACGCCACGUCAUCGGGACGCCAUCAGGAUUCCAUCAGGACGCCGCGUCAACCCCUCCGGAGCAAACCUAGAUCUACUCAUGACACACACACACAGAUGUACUCAGAGACACACUUACAUUUGGCACUGUGGCAAAAUUUAGAUCGACAUUUUGAUGGUACACACAGACACACUAUUAUUUGUUUCUAAACAAUGACACACACUAAUAUUUAGAUGUACACAAAGACAUAUUAAUAUUUAGAUGUACACACAGACACACUAUCAUUUGGUUCUAAAAAAAAGACACACACUAAUAUUUAGAUGUACACAAAGACAUAUUAAUAUUUAGAUGUACACACAUACACACUAACAUUUAGAUGUACACACAGACACACUAACAAUUAGAUUUACACACACACUAACAUUAACAUGUUAAUAACUUUUCUUCUUUUCUCUCUUCUCAGGAACUGCUUCAGAUGUUUUCCCAAUGAUUGUAUUAUUAUUAUUAUUGUUAAAU
ensembl:lncRNA